UGAGACCUCUUGAUGGCCGCGGCCGUGAUCUUCAUUGGGAUCGGCUGAGGAACUUCCGGGCUCCAUAGAGCACGAUGGCGGAUAACGUCCGCCCAGGGUGACCUGAGAGAUAGCGCAACAGAGAACAGACCGCCCGUCCUCGACGGGUAAGGGUGAAACGGCGGUGUAAGAGACCACCGGGCCUCUGGUAACAGUAGGUCGCAUGGCAAGCCUCAUCGGGAGCAAGGCCAAGCAGAUGGCGGUAAGGGCUGCUCGCCCGUGUCAUCGGGUAGGCUGCUAGAGCCUGGCGGUAACGUCAGGUCGAGAUGGAUGGCCAUCCGUGCCGUGCGUUCGCGCNNNNNNNNNNCCGUGCGUUCGCGCACGGCACGACAGAACCCGGGGUAUAAGAGGUCUCAUUUU
rnacentral:RNase_P_RNA from 1 species